AGAAAAAGUAGCGAAGUUACCGUUACAGUUACCACAACAAAAGAGUAACUCGCUACAGUUAGUUACUUUUUGAAAUGUAGCGAUUUUACUUUUCAGCUACUUUUCUAUAACACAAAAAAAAAAUUCGAAAAAAAAACUAGAAAAAGUCCCUCACAACGUUCUAUUGCAUAAAAUAAAAAAGUAUGCUUUUUACUUCAUAUUGUAACUUAGAAGUAGUUGCUUCUCGAAGUUAGUGUUUGAAAGUUUCCACGCGAGAGUUAGUGUUUGAAGUUAGUGUUUGAGAGUUUCCCCGCAAAUCAAAAAACGAAAUCAAAAUACAAAAAUCAAAAGUGAUUAGUGUGCCAAGUGGGCCAGUUUUGGUAAGCAUGGUGGCCAUAGAAGUCGGAACUCGCUAAGGAGUGUGUAACACCUCACCUGCUGAAGCAACUAGCCCCGAAAAUGGAUGGCGCUCUAGUGUCCAGCCUAUUCCGGCCGCUGACGGCAGAUGCACGCAGACAAGGGGGUGCUAAGCUGCAGCGAGUUGGAGGGUCGCUGCGGUGAGCAUUGAAGGUGUUGGUGGUGGUAGCAAAUACUCAAGUGAGAGCCUUAAGGACUGAAGUGGAGAAGGGUUCCAUGUGAACAGCAGUUGAGCAUCGGUCAGUCGGUCCUAAGGAAAAGGAGUUCUUUCCGGAGCGGGAGCACUUUUUGUAGUGGAGAGAGCCCCGCAGUGACCGAAAGGGAAUCGGGUUAAUAAUCCCGAACCCGGACACGGAGAUUGGUCCUUCGGGGCCCAGUGCGGUAACGCAAACCAGCUCGGAGACGCCGAUGCGAGCCCCGGGAAGAGUUUUCUUUUCUCUGUAAGGAGAUCGAGUCUUUGGAAUGGGUUCGCCCCGAGAUAGGGAUGGUGGCUCCGUAGAGCAGUGCGGUUCUUGCGCUGUCGGGUGCGCUCGAGUCGGCCCUUGAAAAUACGAGUGAGGGAGUGUGAUUUUCGUGCCGGACCGUACCCACAUCAGUCUCCAAGGUGAACAGCCUCUAGUCGAUGCACCAAUGUAG
rnacentral:ncRNA from 1 species